AGCGGCAGACGGGUGAGUAACGCGUGGGAAUCUACCUUAAGCUACGGGAUAACAGAGAGAAAUUUCUGCUAAUACCGUAUGUGGCCUAUGGGCGNAAGAUUUAUCGGCUUAAGAUGAGCCCGCGUUGGAUUAGCUAGUUGGUGGGGUAAAGGCCUACCAAGGCGACGAUCCAUAGCUGGUCUGAGAGGAUGAUCAGCCACACUGGGACUGAGACACGGCCCAGACUCCUACGGGAGGCAGCAGUGGGGAAUAUUGGACAAUGGGCGGAAGCCUGAUCCAGCCAUGCCGCGUGAGUGAAGAAGGCCUUAGGGUUGUAAAGCUCUUUCACCGGUGAAGAUAAUGACGGUAACCGGAGAAGAAGCCCCGGCUAACUUCGUGCCAGCAGCCGCGGUAAUACGAAGGGGGCUAGCGUUGUUCGGAUUUACUGGGCGUAAAGCGCGCGUAGGCGGAUAGAUAAGUCAGAGGUGAAAUCCCGGGGCUCAACCCCGGAAUUGCCUUUGAUACUGUUUAUCUUGAGUGCAGAAGAGGUAAGUGGAAUUCCGAGUGUAGAGGUGAAAUUCGUAGAUAUUCGGAGGAACACCAGUGGCGAAGGCGGCUUACUGGUCUGCAACUGACGCUGAGGCGCGAAAGCGUGGGGAGCAAACAGG
rnacentral:rRNA from 2 species